GGCUGAGAGGAUCCAGGGAGAGGAGAAAGCUCGCCUGUUUGACCUGGCUGAGAGGAUCCAGGGAGAGGAGAAAGCUCGCCUGUUUGACCUGGCUGAGAGGAUCCAGGGAGAGGAGAAAGCUCGCCUGUUUGAGCUAUCCUACACAGAGACUAUGUAAGGAAAUCGUGGAGAGGCACACAGGCUACCCACCCAACUGGGAUAAGAACCUGUCCCUGGCCAGCGAGAGGCUCCUGCAGCAUCCAGCACUUCAGCCUGUACCUGGACAAGGAGCCCACAAACUCCCAGGCCCCCGGGGUGGUGUUGUCCAGACAAACAGGACCCUGACUGCACCUCACACUGCGGGAAUGUUUUCCACUGGGGACGUUACAUGACUUUUGCAACCUGGACUGAACCCAAUCAAGCUGUUCAUCUCUCACACACACUCUUUUAUUUACUAUUUCCCUGUCUCUCUCUGUAUCUCUUUCUCUGCCUCUCUCGCGGCUUUUAACGUUGUGAUUAUGUGGCCUCCAGCUUUAGUUCUCCCAUUAGGACGGUCAGGCUGAGAUUGAGGGAAACCCAAUGUGUGCGCAGAAAUGGAGGAUUAGAGCAGGCUCUUAAUCUAGGACAGACUUGUUCCGUGCCACGCUUUCCUCUGGACUCUUAGCAUGACCCAGGCUCCAAAUCACCACCGCUGCCCACCGACUAUCCAUCCGGCUGAGAUGGUCCUUUAAAAAACAAAUGGAUUCAAGGAGCUUUUUUGCUCCUUUUGACAGCAGAGCUAUAAUCCCUCACGGAUUUAAAUGACACAUUAAAUGUUACAAUGCCAGGGACGCAUUUAGAGGUGUGUGCUCCUCCUGUGAUACACAGACACGAGGACAGAAACACACACCACACACACACACACACUGAACAGUGGAGCACUUUCAACUUCACAGAGACAUUUUGUUGCGCAGACAUUGAGAGUCACAACUACGCUAACACAGACAGAGACAUUGCACACAGACAUGCAAGGGUCCUCAGCAGGGACUCAUUCCUCUGUUCUAGGAGAGACCUACCUCGCUCACCUUCCAUUCCCUCGUUCCUCUGUUCUCGGAGAGACCUUCUACCUCGCUCACCUUCCACAUUCUGACUGUGAACAUGCUAUUUUUUUUCUGCUGUCCACAGAUUAAAAUACUCUAACAAAGAUUCAUUUUUCCACUUAAAA